UUAUCCACUUGGCUACAUCCGCC
rnacentral:tRNA from 4 species